GGGUCAUCCCGACUUACCAACCCCAUGCAAACUCCGAAUACCAAAGAGAACUAUCCGGGAGACACACGGCGGGUGCUAACGUCCGUCGUGGAAAGGGAAACAACCCAGACCGCCAGCUAAGGUCCCAAAUUCCAGUUCAGUGGGAAACGAUGUGGGAAGGCUCAGACAGCUAGGAGGUUGGCUUAGAAGCAGCCACCCUUUAAAGAAAGCGUAAUAGCUCACUGGUCGAGUCGGCCCGCGCGGAAGAUAUACCAGG
rnacentral:rRNA from 1 species